CUAUGCGCCUUGCCAGCCCGCUCAGAAACUUAAAGGCAUUGGACGGGGCCCGCACAAGCGGAGGAACAUGUGGUUUAAUUCGAUGAUACGCGAGGAACCUUACCGUGGGCUUUAAAGUGGGGAGUGACAGCUGUCGAAAGAUGGUUUUCUUCGGACACUCUUCAAGGUGCUGCAUGGUUGUCGUCAGCUCGUGCCGUGAGGUGUCGGGUUAAGUCCCAUAACGAGCGCAACCCUUACCGUUAGUUACCAUCAGGUUAAGCUGGGGACUCUAGCGGGACUGCCACCGUAAGGUGAGAGGAAGGUGGGGAUGACGUCAAAUCAGCACGGCCCUUAUGUCCAGGGCUACACACGUGUUACAAUGGCCGGUACAAAGGGCAGCUACUUCGCGAGAAGAUGCUAAUCUCGAAAGCCGGUCUCAGUUCGGAUCGAAGUCUGCAACCCGACUUCGUGAAGCUGGAUUCGCUAGUAAUCGCGCAUCAGCCAUGGCGCGGUGAAUACGUUCCCGGGCCUU
rnacentral:rRNA from 1 species